rnacentral:snRNA from 1 species
GGAUGUGAGGUCCAUCUGGCUGCCACAUCUGUCACCUCAUGAAUCACCAAUGUUGAUUCUGCUGAUCUGGCUCGCUAGGUUCCAUGUGGAUUCCUCCUGAAGCCACAUGAUUGGUCAAAGACGACGACCUUCCCAGAUAAAGGAGGGUGGUUCUUUGGUCAAAAGUAUACGUAGGUAUGAUCCCGAAAUCUCCGAACAAGCUCUCAACACUCAAUGAUAUAACAAAGAUGAAGUGAUGAACAGAGCAACUGGCCUUU